rnacentral:rRNA from 1 species
AGUGAACGCUGGCGGUAGGCCUAACACAUGCAAGUCGAACGGCAGCACAGUAAGAGCUUGCUCUUACGGGUGGCGAGUGGCGGACGGGUGAGGAAUACAUCGGAUUCUACUUUUUCGUGGGGGAUAACGUAGGGAAACUUACGCUAAUACCGCAUACGACCUACGGGUGAAAGCAGGAGAUCUUCGGACCUUGCGCGAUUGAAUGAGCCGAUGUCGGAUUAGCUAGUUGGCGGGGUAAAGGCCCACCAAGGCGACGAUCCGUAGCUGGUCUGAGAGGAUGAUCGGCCACACUGGAACUGAGACACGGUCCAGACUCCUACGGGAGGCAGCAGUGGGGAAUAUUGGACAAUGGGCGCAAGCCUGAUCCAGCCAUACCGCGUGGGUGAAGAAGGCCUUCGGGUUGUAAAGCCCUUUUGUUGGGAAAGAAAAGCAGCAGGUUAAUACCCCGCUGUUCUGACGGUACCCAAAGAAUAAGCACCGGCUAACUUCGUG